UACGUAGGCAGCGAGCGUUGUUCGGAAUUACUGGGCGUAAAGGGUGCGUAGGCGGGUCUUUAAGUCAGGGGUGAAAUCCUGGAGCUCAACUCCAGAACUGCCUUUGAUACUGAGGAUCUUGAGUUCGGGAGAGGUGAGUGGAACUGCGAGUGUAGAGGUGAAAUUCGUAGAUAUUCGCAAGAACACCAGUGGCGAAGGCGGCUCACUGGCCCGAUACUGACGCUGAGGCACGAGGGCGUGGGGAGCAAACAGG
rnacentral:rRNA from 1 species